rnacentral:misc_RNA from 1 species
CUGCUGUAGACACUGGUACGCCGGACAGGAGACCGUACAGCUGAAGAUUGUCAUUACAAUAUAAUAGUGCAAAAUAUAGAAGAUGUUAGGAUGCUGCUUGGUGGUUUUAAAACCUAGCUUUUAAUAGACAUUCCCAAAACAUUUACACUUCCUUUCCGGACGCAAAACAACGCAGGCGCAAUGACAUCAUACCUCUAAAAGGUUAAAAUGGAGGAUAACAUCGGCUGAGGCAGCAAUUCUUUCCUUUCACGAUUUGUUGGACUUUGGCUCAUGAUGACUUCUUUUCAAAAGACAUUUCGCAAAAGUGGAAGUCAUCAUGCAGAAUUUCAUUCUCUGCAAGGAGUCGAGGUCAAAAUUGGAGAGAGGUUCAGACCGCCGAAAAAGGUAACAUUACCUGUUGGAUGGCAGCAAAGAGAUCCCUCGGUUGUCCUAAGUGUAAUGUAUGACUUCAGUCUUGAGAAAGAUGUCAUUUCUAAAGCAGAUGCCUUAAAGGCUUCUACAAAAACAGAGGUGCAAUCCUCACCUGAACCUCAUGUGGAAAGUUCUUCAUCAGACACUCCUUCUGGUCAAAAUUUAGUGUUUUCAAAUGUUGGAAGUGAGAUUCUUCAACCUGUAGUUGCUCCUGGAUUAGGACAUAAAAAAAGUGAUAGCUUUGGGGGAAAAGGAAAAAAUGCAUUUGACUUGGCAGAUUUUGAGGGUGACACAUCAACACCAUUCGAACUUGUGGAAUUGCAAACAAUAAAUGAUAUGGAUGAACUAAAAAAUGUUCUUCAACCUAACAUUAUAAGGCCAGCUACCACAGUGGAAAAUCCAUCCAACUCUCAUGCUGAUACAAAACUUAAGGCCUCUACAAGUGCUUCAGCUACUUCUAUCAGUGUGUCUCCUCCUCAGAGCUCACUUAUUGAUAUUACCGGAACAAAUUCAUGUAAUAAACCUUCAUCUGUCACUAAACCUUCAGACAUAACAACCUCAACCAAUGCCAACACAAGGGGUGCAUUGCUAGUUGACUUUGGAGAUUCAAGGACGUCUUCAAGUACUCCUCAAGUUCCAGCUGUAAAUAGUGACUCAGUCACAACUACUUCUUUGUCUAGCACAAGACUUUUUCCUGAGAACAGGCCCAUCUCCAGGGGUGGUGUGUUACCCCCAAUUGGGCAAAGUGUUUCCUUGACAGGUUCUCAACAACUGCAAGGACAAACCCAUUCACAAAUUUUAACACAUGCUGGUGAGAGUAGAGAUUCAUUUCAGGGUGGGAUUUAUAAUUUUCCAAAAACUCCUCCAUUGCAAGGGCAACAGCCAAACUCAAUACCUCGAGAUGCUAGAACACAACUCAGACAGAGCAGCCCUCCCUCAACUGUUUUUAGUCCAAGAGAACCAGAGUCCAUUGAACCUCAAAGUCCAGGAGUGUGUGGGCAUUAUCCUUCUCCAUUACCUCCAAUUGGAAAGCUGGAUCAAGGGCAAAGGACUGGUAAAGUUAGUGAAGAUAGGUCCUCUUUACCAGAUCCAUGGCCUGUUUUAGAAGAGUCAGAAAAAGCAUUUGUCAAAAAUAUUGCCAGCAUGGGUUUCCCUCAGGCACGUGUUAGUAGGGCUGUGCAGAGACUGGGGAUGAAAGACAGUGAGGUCAUGGAAUUCUUAUUGGCUGUAAAUGAAUUGAGUGAAAAGAAAUAUCCUCCAGAUACUGUUGAAGUUGCCCUCGCAUAUAAUAAUAAUGAGAAAGCCAAGGCAGCUGAAUUUCUUGAACUAGUGAAGAAAUACAAAGACUUUGGCUUUAAGGAAGAUAACAUACUGAAUUGCCUGCAAGCUGCUAAUAAUGAUGAAGAAAAAGCUUUGGAAUAUCUUAUUAGUCUUGGGUCCACAUAGCACAAAUCAAUUUUACUGAAAGUUCAAGUCUAAUGUAAGAUAUGAGUCAAUUCUUAAUUGUAUUUAAAGUUUAAUGCAGAGUUGACUUUUGUGUUUAGUUAUUUUGGUAUUUUCUCAAUACAUGUAGUUAUUUACCCUAAGCCAGAUUCCACAGUUAUUAUGAAAGCAAACUGACAAAAGCUCUUGGUCCAGUUGUUCAAAUGGAUAAGGCUACCUAACUGGUAAAUCACUCUCCAGUGGGUUCCCUUGCUGGAAUGGUCUACAGACUAUUGCUAAGGAGGAACAUCGCUGCAAUAGCUAAAUUCUUUAAGAACUAACUGUUAAUACUAAAACAAAAUUGAGUGAAAGUUCUAGUGUACAUGAAGAUGAUUAUUUAUCAUCCUUGAAUUGCUAGUCUGCUAUUCACCUUCAUGACUGGGCAAGACUACAUGUACUGUUUAUGUAAAUAAUCUUCUAGCAAUUAAUGAUUUGAGAAAUACAGUAAAUGAGUUUGUCAAGUUAUUCACAAGUUAGUCUCUUGGAAUAGGCGACGCAUGCUAGACCAGUCAAAUUUAUUUGAAUCCCCACCAGUUGCUCAAUAUCAGUAAUUGUUCAUGGGCAUCUUGUCAGGCAUUAAAGCUGCUUUUGAUCCAAAUGCAGAUCACCAUGAUUCCUACAUUUUUAGAAUCAUACCUUUUAAGUCUGUCAAAAACUAGUUUAAAAUAAAACUGCAUUCUAAACUAUCCUCAAAUUAGCCAACCGUGUUAUUUGAUCAUUGAUUUGUGCGAACAGUGUCAAGAAGGUUUAUGGCUAGCAAUGGGAAAUAUGGAUUUUCUCGACACAAUGUACGUAGGCAGAAAUGUCAAGGUCUACGAUUUAGUUAGUUUAGACUUUAUCUUCAUCUAAACAGUCCUGAGGUAUCGUUGUUUACAUAAAUUUGAUUCCAGCCAGAGAGCUGAAUGAAAAUUUUUGACAUUUUUGUGGGGCUGGUUUGAGUUAACUUAAAGUGCAUGUUAACCAACUGGACACGCCGCACGAUGGCUGAGAUGCUUUUUUUUCAGUAAUGGGUCGCAACAACAAGAACCAUUAAUGUGGUGUACAGUUUUUGUAACUGCUUGGGCUAUUUAUUAUUUACGAAGACGCUUACCGUUAAAAGGAAAGUAACGCAUACAUGGGCGAUGAAGGUUGGGUACAUCCUUUCACACUAACUGCAGCUUUUAUUUAGAUUUCUCUCUAUUACGUAAAGUUUUUGUAUGUUCAAGUACACUAGUUCUAUCUUUUUUUCUAGCGUAGAUGUUUUACUUUUUAUUCCGAAAUAAUGUACAAUGCACAGGCCGUAGUUGUAAAACUUGCUCAGAAGGCUAAAACUUGCUCAGAAGGCUAUUACUUGUAAUUCAAUGUGUUCACCCUUUCUUCUCAAAAAGUUUCCUGAAUUAAAAUAUAUGGCUGAGAAAUUACAAAAGAAAAACAAACAAAUCAUCUCAAAAGAUAAAGUAAUGAAGCGUUUUCUCUGUAUCUUAACUCACUUGUGGUGCUGCUUAGUGACGUCGACGGCGGCCUACCGUAACUCUACGUCUUGGCUGUAAUUGCAAAUGGAUUGCAAGACAUAUUUACGUUAAGCAAGCAAUUUUGUUCUCUACCGGUGAAAGCUUUCUCUUUAGUUGUCUCGAGACGCUUCCGUUCAGACCGACGCGUGAAUGACACAGCUAGAGGAGUUGGAGUAAAAGAAUAAAACACUGAGAAUA